GAUGAACGCUGGCGGCGUGCCUAAUACAUGCAAGUCGAGCGAACAGACGAGGAGCUUGCUCCUCUGAUGUUAGCGGCGGACGGGUGAGUAACACGUGGAUAACCUACCUAUAAGACUGGGAUAACUUCGGGAAACCGGAGCUAAUACCGGAUAACAUGUUGAACCGCAUGGUUCAACAGUGAAAGACGGUCUUGCUGUCACUUAUAGAUGGAUCCGCGCCGCAUUAGCUAGUUGGUAAGGUAACGGCUUACCAAGGCAACGAUGCGUAGCCGACCUGAGAGGGUGAUCGGCCGCACUGGAACUGAGACACGGUCCAGACUCCUACGGGAGGCAGCAGUAGGGAAUCUUCCGCAAUGGGCGAAAGCCUGACGGAGCAACGCCGCGUGAGUGAAGAAGGUCUUCGGAUCGUAAAACUCUGUUAUUAGGGAAGAACAAAUGUGUAAGUAACUAUGCACGUCUUGACGGUACCUAAUCAGAAAGCCACGGCUAACUACGUG
rnacentral:rRNA from 1 species